rnacentral:rRNA from 1 species
AUACGGAGGGGGCUAGCGUUGUUCGGAAUUACUGGGCGUAAAGCGCGCGUAGGCGGAUUGAUCAGUCAGGGGUGAAAUCCCGAGGCUUAACCUCGGAACUGCCUUUGAUACUGUCAAUCUUGAGUUCGAGAGGGGUGAGUGGAAUUCCUAGUGUAGAGGUGAAAUUCGUAGAUAUUAGGAAGAACACCAGUGGCGAAGGCGGCUCACUGGCUCGAUACUGACGCUGAGGUGCGAAAGCGUGGGGAGCAAACAGGAUUAGAUACCCUAGUAGUCC